rnacentral:tRNA from 1 species
GGGGAUUUAGCUCAGUGGCAUAAGUUCCUGCCUUGCAAGCAGGCCGUCGUGAGUUAAUCCCCG